UGUCCAGUAGCACCUUAGAGACCAACUAAGUAUGUUCUGGGUAUUAUUUUUCGUGUGCAUGCACACUUCUUCAGAUACACAUGAAAGCUUAUACCCAGAACAUACUUAGUUGGUCUCUAAGGUGCUACUGGACA